CAGUCUCACACCCUAUUCGUCACAUACUGCCGUUUGGUCAUGACCCCCUCACGUCCAUAGCGGACGUUGAGGGUACCCCCUAUUCGUCGCUUGAAAACGUAGAGGGUCGUCCUAUAGAUUUGAAUGCAAACCCCUCAUCUUUGAAUUUUGACGAAAUGGGUUUAUCGGUUUGCCUGCGCAAUAUGGUUUUAGGCGAUUGAUUUUAUGCUGCAAAUGUGCAUUUUGCAACAAGCGUGCGGCGCAUAAACGGUUACAAUCAUUAUUGAUGCGGUGACCAAACAUUUUCGUGGAGCGGAAAGCCUUCUGAAUCGGUGUAUCACGACUUUUCUCUCUCUUUUUAUAUAGAUAUAUUUGGUAUACAAUAAAAUGACAUAUUUACAGGGCUGUAUUUGCUGUGUGUUUAAAACAUGCCUUAAUUAACGUAGAUAUUUUAUUAUUUUCGAUCACGCACAGUUGGUCAUUCCCCCUCACGUCUAUAAGCUGACGUUGAGGGUACCCCCCAUUUCGUCGCUUGACAACGUAGAAGGGUCGUCCGAUAUUUGAAUCCAAAUCCCUCAUCUUUGGAUUUUGACGAAAUGGGGGUAUUCAUGCCUGCGCUGCAAAGUAUGUUUUAGGCGAUUGAUUUUAUUGUUCAAAUGUGUAUUUUGCAGUAGCGUGCGGCUGUUACAUUCAUUGGUGCGGUGACUACGGUUACGUACCGCGGCAGAAUCCCUUGUCUGAAGCGGGAUCACGAAUUUCUCUCUCUUUAAGUUAUAUAUAUAUAUUGUUCUACAUUAAAAUGACAUGUUUACAGGACUGUAUAUUUGCUGUAUGUUUAAUUAAGAUAUACCCAAGGCAGUUCGUGUAAUUUAAUCGAUUCGUGUCCAUGGACACGAUUUUCCCCUUUUUUCGUGCCAGUCAGAACGACUUUCAAUCUAAUGUAUUUCAAUAGGAAGUAUUUUUCGUGCCUGCACCACGUUUUUUUGUCCUAUUAUUUUUUUCGUGUUUAUAAGCACGAAUUUAAUCUAAUGUAUUGCAAUAGUAUAUACCAGGGAUUGUUUUACUUUAUUUGUCAUUAAUUGAUUACACUUUAAGCGCUACUUUACUCAACAUUUAAUCAGGAGAUGUUUAUCCUAUAAUAUUGAUUUUUCGAUCGGUUUCGUGUGUCAAAUACAAGAGUAAAUACUACACUACCCAUGAGCCUUAUCGACAUCUACUAUGGUGAAGGCACCAGCUAAAACUACAUGUGGGCCCGCUGCAGAUCACAAUAUUUUCUCAACACAUGAACACUAACGUGUGCUUGAUAAUUCAACAAUACGAUGUUAUGGCCAUCAAUUUUGAUUGUUUCUACUUUGAUUGUAAAAAAAAAUAAGUCAGUUUCGGACGCCUGCAUUUCCCAGAAUCCUCUCUGCCUCCGUUGCUAUGGAAUCUGAGCCAGUCCUCUUUGCUAUUGGGUGAUUUCUUCUUCGGUACUCGUAAUUGACAGGGAUUCUCUCAUACGCGAAAAUCAUUGUCCAGCUGUGUGUUUGUCUUUCUGUCUUUGUCUGCUUUGCAAUGGCCACCAGAUAUACCCCUCACAAACAGGAUCCCCACUACCAAGAGGGGAGGCUCAUGGCUCUUGAGCUGAACCAUGACCACAUUCUAGCUGAAGCCAAGAGCAGCUGUGGAGACGAAACGUUUAUGCCCUAGAAGAGACCCUUCACAGACCUCUAAAAGGAUCUUUGUUGGCUGGGGCAAGCCGAGGGGGAGGCAAGGAGGGUGACGCCAAGCCUCAGCUACAGGUCACUUUUACAGGUUGAGUGCUUCCUGUCAUCCAGUGUGGAGUUUCCACUUAACUGUACCCUCAGCAAAACUAAAUCCUCAUGAGGAAUUUGGUGCAGAGAGUGGUUCUGUGGGGACCGUGAUGUAUUACGUCACAAAAAACAGCCACUCCCCAAUAGGGAAUGUGUAAUUAAUAGUUUUUUUGUAGCCAUCCGUCCAACCAAAUGCAUCAUUAAAGGGGAAGAUGGAUAUUGCACUCAACACAAGUCGGCAAGAUGACAUACCACUGUUGUAAACGCACAAACAUAUGUUCAUCAUUCAUCAGUUCUCACUUCCCUGGACUUCAACCUUGCUACACACAUGGUAUCGUUAUUAAUCGAAACAAAGACAGAUAUCUUUAUAUUUUUGUUCUCUGCAGACAAACAAAAAAUGUUAGCUGUUGCAAAGCAAUUUGGUGAGUUAGCAAAUGAUACUACUCGAGAAGUUAGGCAGAAGGAGUGCUAUACUGGGAUUAUAGAAACUUAUAAGAUGUCUCUUAAACAUUCACAAUGUGCAGAAUGAACUAACUGUUUUAAAAUAGUAUGUGGUAAAUGUUUUUUUUCCAAGGGCGUUUUGACUUGCCUCAGCCACUGUAUGUCUGUUAAACAUGCAAACAGCAAAGGACCCCAGACCUGAAAGACCUUCUGAGGAGUGGAUAUUGGCCAGCUUCAAUAAACAACACCACACUUUACACACUGGACCUCCUGAUCUCCUUUCAAGAACUCAAGGUCAUCUCUCCAAGAUUCUCCAGACAAGCCUUCGCAAAGCUGCUGGAGCAUCGCACGAAGUGUGGAGGAAGAUUUGGAUAUAUCAACGGCGAUGCACUGCAAUGCAGCUUCUUGGAGUUUUCAUACGCUUAAUUUGAAUCAGACCAGCUCUGGUGUGGUGCUCCUUUCACCUGCCCAGCCUGAACGCUAGAAUUGUUGGCUGCUUCAGCAGAUGGAAACAGAAAGCUAUAUCGCUUUUGCCGAAACAGAAGACUGUGGCUUGCAAAUAUUGGCCAUUUGAAGAAAGUUGCUAGUGUCCUUCCUGAUCUUCAGGAGCUGACCUCAAUGAAACCUUUCCUUAAUGUUAUGCAUGCUUGAGCCACACAAAAAAGUUUGAGAUUAAAUGAAGUGGUAGGAACCAGGAAGGAACAGGGACAACCACCGGUGAGUGGAGCAAGUGAACAGCUACCUUUCACGUUGUGCCCGUACAACCAAAUAUAUGUCCAAAGCAGGGGUGGACAUGCUUACAUUGCAUGCAAUGGGCUGGAACCAUAAAAAAGUAUCUCUCUACAUCAGGCACUUUCCACAAUAUAUGUGAAAAGACAUCAGAAACAUCUCAUGCCAGUCAAGGCACCACACACAGAAAACUUCAGCAGUCAAUUGAGGGGCUUUAUCUUAGUGUGAUGCUGUGCAAGCAGACUCUCUACUGUCAGAAUGACAGCAGCAAGCUUUGCCACCGCCUUCAAAGGAAGCUGGCAGAUGACAAAAGCUCCUUCUUCAGGAGAUACAGAACUACAAUGAUCUUGUACUAGACUCUGCCACAAACAUUGACCUAGCUGUGGUGGAGCAUUCCCUCACUGGAGAGAGCAGUGUGUCUCAGAUAUGACCGUGGGACCUUCAUGGCAGUGCAAACAUUUCAGUCAAGAAACGAUUGCAUGACCAAGUGAUGUUGACAAUGCGACUGCAAGAGGAAAGGGGCAUUGUGGUGUUGGAGAUGGCUCAACAAUACACAUGGUUGCAGAGCCUGGCAGUGGCUCUCAAGAACAAGAUGGCUGAGGAGGACAAGGGAAAUGAAGGACUUUGCUGUCUCUUAAGAAGAAGAUCGUCAGUGGUGUCAGAAGGGUUGCAAGUCGUCCUUCAACAAUACAAGACUGCAUUAGGUCUUGAGGCCUCUGUCCUUCUACAUGUUGAAGAAGAAGAUCAAAGUGACCUCAGCAGUCCAGAUACCAGCGAGGAUGAAGAGGAAAACAUAAUUUAGAUAGAAACUGCACAAAGGACUGCGUUUAAGGAAAUGGACUUGGCAUAUAUCUGUGUAGUGUUAGUAUGCUAACUACAUUAUUAUCUGUAUGCAUCCUAUAUUGUUAAAAUGUUCAACCUGUGUCUAGAUUAUCAAGCAUGUUAUUUAGCACGUUGAUGCUCCUUAAAUAUGCACAAACAUCUCAAUAUAGGUGCAAGAAUCGUAUGAUAUUAUCAGAUGUAAUAAUUGAACUUAUGUUAUAUUUGGAUAGUGUAUUCAUAAUUUGUGUAUUUAAAGUUGCUAAUGGGCAUUGUUAGCCACAUCACAAACUCACUGUUAAAACACUGCUUAUUGUGCCUUAUUGUGUUUAUGUACUUGCAUUGGUGCAGUAAUAUUGAAUGCAGUAAGGUCAUUGGUGUGUUUUAGCUUUGAACACAUAACACAGAGCUCAACCAAUCAGAAUAAUCAUUGAUAAUGAAGUAAAAGUUUUAAACGGGUAAGUUGAUAUGAAAUAUUGUAAGCACAUUCAUCAGGAUGACUUUGCUGACCUUGUGACCUUUAUUACCACAUUUAGGCCAAAAUGUGAAAACUCUACUUGAUUGAGUGUAUUAUAGGAUAUAACUGUUGUGCACCAUUGAAGAUAAACAUCAUAAAUUCUUUCUUAAAGAUGGAUAAUUUGUUGGCAAUGUGUCUGUCACUAUUAAACACUAUAGUAUGCAAAAGAAAAAUACACUAGAUUUGUAUUUUAUGAUUAUACUUAUAUUGUGUAUUACUACAUUUGAUAGAUAACUUUAUUCCCUGUUCUGCUGGUGGUUUUCAAGUGAACUUCACAGUCUAGUGUUAUUAAAUUCAGCCUUAUGGCUUGAUUGACAAAUUUGCAUUUCAUGUAUUUUCACUGCUUUUAUUGUGAAAGACAAAAAAUAAAGUGUUUCUAAACAUGA